rnacentral:rRNA from 1 species
UACGUAGGGGGCUAGCGUUGUCCGGAAUCAUUGGGCGUAAAGCGCGCGUAGGCGGCCAGAUAAGUCCGGUGUGAAAGUCACAGGCUCAACCUGUGAAUGCCGCUGGAAACUGUCUGGCUAGAGUCCGGAAGGGGCGAGUGGAAUUCCUGGUGUAGCGGUGAAAUGCGCAGAUAUCUGGAGGAACACCGGUGGCGAAGGCGGCAUCCUGGACCAAUACUGACGCUGAGGAGCGAAAGCCAGGGGAGCAAACGGG